UUCGCGGUCUGGAUAAAGUCUUUUGGAUCGUCAGAGGUGCGUUUGAUUGUGGCAACUAACAAUUACCUUCACAACGAGGAAAAACCAAGGUCACUGCAACUUCUGCAGAUGUACAGGGAAGCCUCACUGUACCCAGCACCCCAAGGCUGAUUGCAUUCGAAGAUUCUGUUCUCCAUGCCAGAAGAUGGAUGCUUACAAUGGAGGGCAGAGUCAUCAUUGAGUCACAAGACCUAACUGAUUUUCAGUCCGCAUUAGCUGUCUUGUUUGGCUGCUACUACGCUUUCAAUGUUUAGUACCAAGAAGAGGCAGCUGCGACUCUGGAGUUCCUGCAGAGAUUCAUUCUCCCCGAAUAAACCCUGAUGGGACAAAAUGCCAGUCAAAGACACGGAUCAGCCGUACCUCUGGGAAGAAGGUGCAAUGAAAAAGUUCUGGCCUGAAUCCUCAUGUUGUGACUUAAAUAAAAGAGCUUGUUGACUUUGAUUGGCAGAAUUUUAAAAAAAUGACCAACGACCGAGUUAAGUAUUGUUAAUGUGGAAUGUGGAAAGUGUUAGUUUGAAUGGCUUGUUCUGCUUUUUAAAAUGUAGCCAAAAUGUAAUUUGUUCUUCAAGUAAAUUGUUGCCCUUUAAAGGGAUAGUUCACCAAAAAAUGAAGAUUCUGUCAACAUUUACUCACUCUGAUGAACAUGAAGGAGGAUAUUUUGAGGAAUGUUUGUAACCAAGGCAUUCGUGAGACACAUUUACAUAGUAUUCUUUAAUCCUACUAUGAAAGGUUGAUGAUUGGUUUGGUCACAAACAUUCCUCAAAAUAUCUUCACAAAGAACAAAGAAAUUGAUUUAGGUUUGAAACAACAUGAGAAGUAAAUGAACAGAAUUUUCAUUUUUGGGUGAACUAUCCCUUUAAGUAAAUGUCUGUUAGUAAUGUAAAACAACUUAAAGAGUGCAUUUAA